rnacentral:rRNA from 1 species
UGGGGAAUAUUGCACAAUGGGCGCAAGCCUGAUGCAGCCAUGCCGCGUGUGUGAAGAAGGCCUUCGGGUUGUAAAGCACUUUCAGCGAGGAGGAAGGUGGUGAGCUUAAUACGCUCAUCAAUUGACGUUACUCGCAGAAGAAGCACCGGCUAACUCCGUGCCAGCAGCCGCGGUAAUACGGAGGGUGCAAGCGUUAAUCGGAAUUACUGGGCGUAAAGCGCACGCAGGCGGUUUGUUAAGUCAGAUGUGAAAUCCCCGGGCUCAACCUGGGAACUGCAUUUGAAACUGGCAAGCUAGAGUCUCGUAGAGGGGGGUAGAAUUCCAGGUGUAGCGGUGAAAUGCGUAGAGAUCUGGAGGAAUACCGGUGGCGAAAGGCGGCCCCCUGGACGAAGACUGACGCUCAGGUGCGAAAGCGUGGGGCAGCAAACAGGAUUAGAUACCCUGGUAGUCCACGCUGUAAACGAUGUCGAUUUUGGAGGUUGUGCCCCUUGAGGCGUGGCUUCCGGAGCUAACGCGUUAAAUCGACCGCCUGGGGAGUACGGCCGCAAGGUUAAAACUUAAAUGAAUUGACGGGGUCAUAGCUGUUCCU